rnacentral:rRNA from 1 species
UACGGAGGGUGCAAGCGUUAUCCGGAUUCACUGGGUUUAAAGGGUGCGUAGGCGGGCAGGUAAGUCAGUGGUGAAAUCUCCGAGCUUAACUCGGAAACUGCCGUUGAUACUAUCUGUCUUGAAUAUCCUGGAGGUAAGCGGAAUAUGUCAUGUAGCGGUGAAAUGCUUAGAUAUGACAUAGAACACCCAUUGCGAAGGCAGCUUACUACGGGAUUAUUGACACUGAGGCACGAAAGCGUGGGGAUCAAACAGG